AAGCCAACACGAAAUAAGCCGUUAAAGAAAACAAGAAUGAGGUCCUUAGGCACGACUUCCGGCUGCUGGUGUACAAUCCGAAGUCAUCGAAUUCUCUGUCUGUUUCCGUUGCGGAAUACUUCCUAUCUGUUGACGCGGACAAAUGUUACAGGACAACAUUUCCUCUGGGAGUUUCUUCUACGCUAUAAUUCAUCGUCUCUGCGUUCAAGGCCAAAGUAGACCCGGUUUAGGAUGCCGACAUUAACGGGUUGGAGAUGAGAUGGAUUGCACUGAAAUCGAGACCCGGAUGAAAGUUGGUUUCGGUCGAGGAGCCUCCCAAAAAGCAACAUUCAAGCAAGUAGUCCCGGGCUGAGCGGUUGAGUUCAAAACGUUGGCUGAUGGAUAAAUAGUGUUGAAUACAAGAGAAAACACUACACGUCUGGUUUGUGACUAAGUUUAAUUUUUUGUUGUAAAAUUUAAAGAGAAUUUAUAGAGAAAAUAGUUUACAAAUUUAUAAGUUAAAGUUAAGAUAAA